rnacentral:lncRNA from 1 species
UCCCUUCCCUUCCCUGCGCGCCGCGCUCCGGGCUUUGCCUGACAUCUAGCUGCUGCUGGGGCGCCGGCGGCCGCCGCUCACUGGCCAAGCGGAGAGGAACGGAGCUGGCGGAGAGGAGGGUCAGGGACUCGGAAGCCUUAGAGUGGGCAAUGGAGCCAGCAGCCCUCUCUGUUCACAAGAAAAGUGCUCAGACCUGCAGGAGUCAGAGGAGAGAAGCAAAGCUGAGGGAGAAGCACACGGUGAGUAAAGGAAGGGAGUCAGUUAUCCUGUGAGAGCAGUGAAUACAGCAACAUCCAACAGAUGCCUGGGAAAGUCAGGUCCCUGGGUGUUCUGUUUGAUUAACAAUAAAGAGCCAUCUAGGAUAUGACUGCUUUCCUAGCUAAGGUCUUUGCAGUCUGUAAGAGGAAAGGGAUUUGAAGAAAGUUAAGAAAGAAGUGGUUUGAUGAACAACAAGGAUUUACUGUAUAGCACAGAGAACUAUAUUCAAUACCUUGUAAUAACCUAUGAUGGAAAAGAAUCUAAAAAUGUGUGUGUGUGUAAAUGGAUCACUCUGCUGUACCCUUGAAAACUAGCACAAUAUUGUAAAUCAACUACACUUCAAUUUUUAAAAAGAGGGAAUGAACUGCUCUGCAAGGAGGGCAAGAGAGGAGGGAAGUAAGAAAAUGGGCCUAACACCUCCCCAGGGAACGAGCAGAAAGAAUCAUUAAACUGUUGAGCUUCUGCCUAGAUGGUACCUGCUAAAGGUUGCUGCCUCUCUGUCCACAUCCACCUACCAGCCCCUCCCGAGGGCAGUAGUAGGAGAAGCGUGCAAUUAACCCCUGAUCUAAUCUCCUAUUAAUCCUCAAAUCAGAGAAAGAGCGACUCUCUGGAAACAAUGGGAGAGGAAGAGCAAUCCCUUCAUGCCCCUCCACCUCCAUGCCAUAUUCAAGCUAUGUGAAAAUCUCCCUUGCUUCAUAAACUCGGCCCAUUAAAUAGCCCAGCCCUUGUUAGUAAGUGUUAAAGAGAGAUUAAUGCCCGAAUUUAAGAGGUGGAGAAGGUAACAAAAAAAGGAGGAAGGCAGGCAAGGCUGUGGGCUGAGUGCCAGCGUUGGGCUCCGAGCAUUUCCACUUAGCGCUGAAGGCUGGCAGCACAGCAGUUUGAUAAGGUUUAUUGGGCCCAGAUAAAGCGGCAGCAGCUCCCCCACCAAAACUGGCACCAUUUAUAGCCAGAGCUCUGUCCUUGGGUCUCCGGAAGGCUGAU